rnacentral:rRNA from 1 species
UACGAAGGGUGCAAGCGUUAAUCGGAAUUACUGGGCGUAAAGCGUGCGUAGGUGGUUCGUUAAGUCUGAUGUGAAAGCCCUGGGCUCAACCUGGGAAUGGCAUUGGAAACUGGCGAUCUAGAGUGCGGUAGAGGGUAGUGGAAUUCCCGGUGUAGCAGUGAAAUGCGUAGAGAUCGGGAGGAACAUCUGUGGCGAAGGCGACUGCCUGGACCAGCACUGACACUGAGGCACGAAAGCGUGGGGAGCAAACAGG